rnacentral:pre_miRNA from 1 species
UUUUAUGGAUGAGCAACAAAAGUGGUUUCUUGAAAUGAAACCUACACUUGGUGAAAAUGCUGUGAA